rnacentral:rRNA from 1 species
GAUAAACGCUGGCGGCGCACAUAAGACAUGCAAGUUGAACGGACUUAAUCGAAAUAUUUAUAUUUUGAAGCGGUUAGUGGCGGACUGGUGAGUAACGCGUAAGGAACCUGCCUAUUAGAGGGGAAUAACAGUGAGAAAUCAUUGCUAAUACCGCAUAUGCCAUAGAUAUCACAUGAUAACAGUGGGAAAGGAGCAAUCCGCUAAUAGAUGGCCUUGCGUCUGAUUAGAUAGUUGGUGGGGUAACGGCCUACCAAGUCGACGAUCAGUAGCCGGACUGAGAGGUUGAACGGCCACAUUGGGACUGAGAUACGGCCCAGACUCCUACGGGAGGCAGCAGUCGUGAAUAUUGCGCAAUGGAGGAAACUCUGACGCAGUGACGCCGCGUAUAGGAAGAAGGUUUUCGGAUUGUAAACUAUUGUCGUUAGGGAAGAGAAAGGACAGUACCUAAGGAGGAAGCUCCGGCUAACUACGUG